rnacentral:rRNA from 1 species
AGAAUCAACGCUGGCGGCGUGCCUAACACAUGCAAGUCGAACGAGAAAGUGGAGCAAUCCAUGAGUAAAGUGGCGCACGGGUGAGUAACACGUGACUAACCUACCCUCGAGUGGGGAAUAACUUCGGGAAACCGAGGCUAAUACCGCAUAAUACCUAAGGGUCAAAGGAGCAAUCCGUUUGAGGAGGGGGUCGCGGCAGAUUAGUUAGUUGGCGGGGUAAUGGCCCACCAAGACGAUGAUCUGUAUCCGGCCUGAGAGGGCGCACGGACACACUGGAACUGAAACACGGUCCAGACUCCUACGGGAGGCAGCAGUGGGGAAUUUUGCGCAAUGGGGGAAACCCUGACGCAGCAACGCCGCGUGGAGGAUGAAAUCCCUUGGGAUGUAAACUCCUUUCGAUCGGGAAGAUAAUGACGGUACCGGAAGAAGAGGCCCCGGCUAACUUCGUGCCAGCAGCCGC